AUAGAAGGAUUGGUAUCUGAUGCUCAGUGCAUAAAUUCCUUCUAUUACAUUGCAGACUGUGUUAUCUUCAAAGCUUUGAGAGAAGAAAAUACUCUGUUCAGAUUCUCAGAUUUUAGUUGUCGUACCGACCUAUUCAUGUGCUCAUGUUUUUUUUAUGUUAUUUAGAAAAAAUGAAUCCAUCUAAAUGCUACUGUGGUAAGUUCCUGAACAUUAUUCAGUCUCAAAAUUUCCAUUGAUAUAUCCAUUAUAGGGGCUAAUCAUCUGGAAUCUUUUGCACAAAUAAGACUAUGUUUAUGCAGCCUAUCCAACCUUCUAUCCACUACCGCCUGCAGUCAAGAUUCUCAGAUUUUAGUUGUCUGUACUAUACCGACCUAUCCAUGUGCUCAUGUUUUUUUAUGCUAUUUAGAAAAAAUGAAUCCAUCUAAAUGCUACUGUGGAACAAGACCAUGUUUAUGCAGCCUAUCCAACCUUCUAUCCACUACCGCCUGCAGUUAUUCAGUACUAAAACUACUCACGGAAUGCCUCCAAUUUGUCACGGCAUGUCUACUUGGAGACACAAUGUGAUCAGUUCCUACUUGCAAGCACAAUGUGAUAAGUUUAGACAAUGCCUAGAAUGUGUUACAUGCAUUUCUUAUUAGUGAUGCACAUCAAGUCAAGGCAUAAUUGGAGUCCCAAAUUUUGCAUCUCACGUUGUUGUUAAAAAAUGUGACCAAUUAGUCUACUAAUUAAUACAAAACAUCUAUAGAUUGCCUGGUUUAAGUUCUGUCACUUUACUCAGCAUCUGUAUAAUGGCAUCUUUUCUUGCCUCUCCGGUAUUUUGUUUAUAUAUUGA